GUGAGGAAUAUUGCGCAAUGGAGGCAACUCUGACGCAGCCAUGCCGCGUGCAGGAAGAAGGCGCUACGCGUUGUAAACUGCUUUUAACCGGGAAGAAACCCCAGGACGUGUCCUGGGUUGACGGUACCGGAGGAAUAAGCACCGGCUAACUUCGUGCCAGCAGCCGCGGUAAUACGAAGGGUGCAAGCGUUAUCCGGAUUCAUUGGGUUUAAAGGGUGCGUAGACGGAGCGUUAAGUCAGUGGUGAAAUCCUGCAGCUUAACUGUAGACUUGCCAGUGAGACUGGCGCUCUUGAGUGCGCUUGAAGUGGGCGGAAUGUGCCGUGUAGCGGUGAAAUGCUUAGAUAUGGCACAGAACACCAAUUGCGAAGGCAGCUCACUAAGGCGAUACUGACGCUGAGGCACGAAAGCGUGGGGAUCGAACAGGAUUAGAAACCCCGGUAGUCC
rnacentral:rRNA from 1 species